AGAGUUUGAUCAUGGCUCAGGACGAACGCUGGCGGCGUGCUUAACACAUGCAAGUCGAACGGAAAGGCCCUUCGGGGUACUCGAGUGGCGAACGGGUGAGUAACACGUGGGUGAUCUGCCCUGCACUUUGGGAUAAGCCUGGGAAACUGGGUCUAAUACCGAAUAGGACCACGCGCUUCAUGGUGUGUGGUGGAAAGCUUUUGCGGUGUGGGAUGGGCCCGCGGCCUAACAGCUUGUUGGUGGGGUAAUGGCCUACCAAGGCGACGACGGGUAGCCGGCCUGAGAGGGUGACCGGCCACACUGGGACUGAGAUACGGCCCAGACUCCUACGGGAGGCAGCAGUGGGGAAUAUUGCACAAUGGGCGCAAGCCUGAUGCAGCGACGCCGCGUGAGGGAUGACGGCCUUCGGGUUGUAAACCUCUUUCAAUAGGGACGAAGCGCAAGUGACGGUACCUGGAGAAGAAGCACCGGCCAACUACGUGCCAGCAGCCGCGGUAAUACGUAGGGUGCGAGCGUUGUCCGGAAUUACUGGGCGUAAAGAGCUCGUAGGUGGUUUGUCGCGUUGUUCGUGAAAACUCACAGCUUAACUGUGGGCGUGCGGGCGAUACGGGCAGACUAGAGUACUGCAGGGGAGACUGGAAUUCCUGGUGUAGCGGUGGAAUGCGCAGAUAUCAGGAGGAACACCGGUGGCGAAGGCGGGUCUCUGGGCAGUAACUGACGCUGAGGAGCGAAAGCGUGGGUAGCGAACAGGAUUAGAUACCCCGGUAGUCCAA
rnacentral:rRNA from 1 species